UGAGCUGUGUGCCUUCUGACCAGCACAUCCCUCCUUUCUAGACCUUACCUCUGAAGUCACACCAGACAUCUUCCCUGCUUUCUAGUCUUUAGAAAGCCUGCCUGUUCUCCCCUCCCCUCCCCUCCCCUCAGCCCUCACCAGAAACAAAGGCUUUAGGACUGUGGGUCUGCGUGAUGUCCUUCAACAGUUGCUGCUCUGUGACCUCACUCCAGCCCCUCUCCUCUCCCCAGGCUGAGCUGAUGAGUGGCCUAAUUGAGUAUUGCAUUGAGCUGAGCCAGGCCUCUGAGCCCACUCUGCCCCAGGAGAGUGCAUCUGGACCUCAGGAAGCUCCCAGCUCCUCUCCACCACCCACUCAGCGCCCCAAGCUGCGGAGGCAGGGUAGUGUGGUGUGUAGCCGGAUUCAGCAUCUCUCCACCAUUGACUAUGUGGAAGAUGGUAAGGGGAUCAAGAGGGUGAAACCAAAGCGCACCACGUCCUUCUUCAGCCGGCAGCUCUCCUCCAGCCAGGGCAGCUACACCGUGGUACAGCCCACUGACGACAGCCUGGAGCAGAGCUGA
rnacentral:lncRNA from 1 species